UACGAAGGGGGCUAGCGUUGCUCGGAAUCACUGGGCGUAAAGCGCACGUAGGCGGAUUGUUAAGUCAGGGGUGAAAUCCUGGAGCUCAACUCCAGAACUGCCUUUGAUACUCGCGAUCUUGAGUCCGGGAGAGGUGAGUGGAACUGCGAGUGUAGAGGUGAAAUUCGUAGAUAUUCGCAAGAACACCAGUGGCGAAGGCGGCGAUCUGGGAAGUUACUGACGCUGAGGUGCGAAAGCGUGGGGAGCAAACAGG
rnacentral:rRNA from 1 species